rnacentral:rRNA from 1 species
AUUGAACGCUGGCGGCAGGCCUAACACAUGCAAGUCGAGCGGAUGAGGGGAGCUUGCUCCUGGAUUCAGCGGCGGACGGGUGAGUAAUGCCUAGGAAUCUGCCUGGUAGUGGGGGAUAACGUCCGGAAACGGGCGCUAAUACCGCAUACGUCCUGAGGGAGAAAGUGGGGGAUCUUCGGACCUCACGCUAUCAGAUGAGCCUAGGUCGGAUUAGCUAGUUGGUGGGGUAAAGGCCUACCAAGGCGACGAUCCGUAACUGGUCUGAGAGGAUGAUCAGUCACACUGGAACUGAGACACGGUCCAGACUCCAACGGGAGGCAGCAGGGGGGAAUAUUGGACAAUGGGCGAAAGCCUGAUCCAGCCAUGCCGCGGGUGUGAAGAAGGUCUUCGGAUUGUAAGCACUUUAAGUUGGGAGGAAGGGCAGUAAGUUAAUACCUUGCUGUUUUGACGUUACCAACAGAAUAAGCACCGGCUAACUUCGUG